UACAGAGGUCUCAAGCGUUGUUCGGAUUCAUUGGGCGUAAAGGGUGCGUAGGCGGCGCGGUAAGUCGGGUGUGAAAACCUGCGGCUCAACCGUGUGGUCUGCAGUCGAUACGGGCAGGCUGGAGUUCGGUAGGGGAGACUGGAAUUCCUGGUGUAGCGGUGAAAUGCGCAGAUAUCGUAAGGAAGACCAGUGGCGAAGGCGGGUCUCUGGACAGUUCCUGACGCUGAGGCACGAAGGCCAGGGGAGCAAACGGG
rnacentral:rRNA from 1 species